ensembl:lncRNA
GAAUCCUUCUUGGUCCUGGAGUGAUUAUUUGGGAAUGUCUGCUUUUGCUGACUUUUGUAAUGGAGACACAGCCGAAGAUGAGCACCACUGUUUGCAAAUAACUUUUACUGAGGAAAAGAGUGGAUGCUUAGAGAGCAUGGACUGUGAAACUGAGCUCCCGUCUAUCUGUGGAAACAUUAUUAUGUAAUUGUGAAUCAACUCUAUAAUGCAUCAUAAAAAGCACAAAGAUCUGUGUUUUUCUUUCUCAGUGCUGUUUCUUUCUCUGUAUUUCCACACCAUCGCUAUGAUGCAAGCAAUCAGGCAUCAUGUGCAAUGAACUGGAGCUGAAUUUUCUGUACGAUUAAAAGAAAGCUUUCUGUAGACCUUUACUUUGUAGAGUGAACUGUAUCUCAUUCUUAAAUUAAAACUGUUAGCAAAAAAAACAAAAAAAAACAAAAAACAAAACAAAAAAAACAACUGUUAGCAUUGAAAUUUGUCUGUGAGUUAUUCACCACUAACAUUAGCAAAUUGAAUACAAAAUGGGGUUUUUUAAAGUUUAUGUCCAAAUGCCCCAAAGGAGCUGUGCCUUCCAUGGAUGAGAUGUUUAUUCAUGGUGACAUAGAAACUGUCAAUCAUGUUCUUCUGACAGCCAGCAGGGUGGAGGCAUGGCUACCGACCCUGCUGGUUACAGAGAUGUUCCUCCAAACUGCAGCAUGUCUGGGUUAAGAUAAGGAAAGUCAAUGGUAGACACCAGAAUAGGCUGCAGUCUGACUAAAGUAUUGUAACCCACGCCCCAACCACUCAGGGAGGAGUUGAAUAUGAGUGCAAAUAACCAUAACACACAGGAAUUUCAGUUGACUGUGAGUUUAGUUAUCAACAACCUCAAAAAGAAAUUACAACGUUGGCCCUUUGCUAAAUAAACUCACUGAAAACUCAUUGCUCUUAAUUAUCUGAAUUAUCCAUUUAAAACAUAUUUGGUUAGGUUGCAGCCUUGCCCUUCCGUUUGCUCCACAGAUUUAUAAAGCGGAGAUGAUUGUCAAGUCAGAGAACAGAGAGGGUAACACUUUAUAACUUGACACGCAAAUAAAGCACAAGUACCCUGUACUUACUUAAGGAGACACAAAUUCUUCUGUAAAUAACUUUAAGUAUCGUAGCAGCCUAAGUAAUUACUAAGUAAUUAAGUAAUGCUUAAGUAAUAUUCUGCAUAAUGAAAGUCUGCCUAUUCAACUCUCUCUAUAUAUUACCUUUAAAAAUUAAUACAGUAAUAAUCACUUUCUUCUUCUUAUUGGAAAAUAUACAUUGAUACGAACAAUCAAACUUUGUAGACCAUAAGCAUAAUCUGACCAUAUAAUAAUGGAGACAAGGAGAGUUAUUUUCAUUAAACUGUAGUUAAAAAAGAAGAACAUGAAACAAUUCCAUAACCCUUAAAAAAAUAAGUUUUAACAAUACAUUACCAUAUUGUGGCGUGUUGGGGGAGCGGCUAGUUCUCUCCCAUCAUGCCUUGGGACUGCUGUUUGGAUGUUCUUGUUUUGUUGUUUAUGGUUACACUACUUUUAACUGUUAUCUUGAAUGUUGUGUUUGUACUGCAGUUCAAAGGCACUUACAGUGUUGUUUUAUAGAAUGAAUGCAACCAUGGGUGAGUUCUGUUAUGCUGUUGAUGACCCUCGAAGCAUAGUGUAGCAUCAGUGUGUGUUGUAAUAAAGAGCUCCCCCUACCAGCUUGGGGUUGAAUAACAAUCUCUCUCUGUGAGCUUCUUUGUAAAGAUUCCUCUGCAUGCCACAUUGGUGUCAGAAGUGGGAUUCCAAGAGCAUGGCCACUAUUCUGAAAGAGGAAGAGGAGCUGAGGAAGAUUGAGGAGCUUAUCACUCACCUGGAAGCAGUGAAUGGAGCACAAUUGAAGAAGCGGGGAGAGCCCCGGGCAGCAGCAAGCCAGCCAGGGGAAGAUCUGUGGGGCUUACCAGAUGGAGCCUCACACCCCCGCCCACUGGGGAGCUGUCGGAGCCGCCAAGGCAUGCUGCAGGCUCCAAGACCACGAGCGACCGGUCAGCCUCCACUCAUGGUGAUGCCUGGGAGCAGCACACCCUCAUCGUUGGCAGCCGAGGGGGACAACGCCAACUGUCUCCAGGACCAA